UGCUAACUUCCUUAAGUAUGGGUUACCAAAA
rnacentral:piRNA from 1 species